UAUCGGAACGUGCCCAGUCGUGGGGGAUAACUGCUCGAAAGAGCAGCUAAUACCGCAUACGACCUGAGGGUGAAAGCGGGGGAUCGCAAGACCUCGCGCGAUUGGAGCGGCCGAUAUCAGAUUAGGUAGUUGGUGAGGUAAAGGCUCACCAAGCCGACGAUCUGUAGCUGGUCUGAGAGGGCGACCAGCCACGCUGGGACUGAGACACGGCCCAG
rnacentral:rRNA from 1 species